rnacentral:rRNA from 1 species
UACUGGAGACAGGUGCUGCAUGGCUGUCGUCAGCUCGUGUCGUGAGAUGUUGGGUUAAGUCCCGCAACGAGCGCAACCCUUGCCUUUAGUUGCCAGCAGUUCGGCUGGGCACUCUAAAGGGACUGCCGGUGUUAAACCGGAGGAAGUGGGGAUGACGUCAAGUCCUCAUGGCCUUUAUGACCAGGGCUACACACGUACUACAAUGGCCGAUACAAAGGGCAGCGACACUGCGAGGUGAAGCCAAUCCCGUAAAAUCGGUCUCAGUCCGGAUUGGAGUCUGCAACUCGACUCCAUGAAGUUGGAAUCGCUAGUAAUCGUGGAUCAGCAUGCCACGGUGAAUACGUUCCCGGGCCUU